GCAGAGGUAUCGAAGCCCGGCCAACCGAGAAGGACUCAAGAUCCUUUCCCUCAGGGGUUCGUGGGUUCGAAUCCCACCCUCUGCA
rnacentral:tRNA from 2 species